AUGACGGGGGGGAAGAUGGCGGCGGCGACGGCGGCGAGGUGGGCGGAGGGGUACCCGUGGAAGGAGAAGCUGGCCAAGUACAAGGGGGAGCUGAGCAAGGGGGUGUGGGGGUACUGGGAGCUCGGGGCGUGGAAGCCGCUGGGGAUCAGCGGGCGGCAGCGCGCGCGGCUCCGCAAGGAGGUGCUCCUCGCCGGCGAGGACUGGGCCUACGACCCGCCCCGCGGCGAGAUGCGCACCAAGCGCAAGGGCCACAAGGUCGACCGCAUCGCCGCCGAGAAGCGUGCCAACACCGUUGAGCUGAUGAAGAAGAUGCCCCAGAUGCUCCUCGACUACAAGAAACGUAGAUGGGAUAAGAAGAUGAAAGAGGAGGAGGCCGCGGCAGCAAAGGCUACUUAA
rnacentral:rRNA from 1 species